rnacentral:tRNA from 1 species
UGCCUGAAUGCUUAAGGAUCACUAUGAUAAAGUGAACAUAGAGGUAUACCAGCCCUCUCAUUUCCUCACACUUAG